GACAGAGGGUGCAAACGUUGUUCGGAAUUACUGGGCGUAAAGCGUGUGUAGGUGGCUGCGUAAGUCGGAUGUGAAAGCCCUGGGCUCAACUCAGGAAGUGCACUCGAUACUGCGUAGCUCGAGUACCGGAGAGGUUGGUAGAAUUCUCGGUGUAGAGGUGAAAUUCGUAGAUAUCGAGAGGAAUACCGGUGGCGAAGGCGGCAUCCUGGACCGACAUUGACGCUGAACGGCGAAAGCUAGGGGAGCAAACGGG
rnacentral:rRNA from 1 species